AGGAGUUCCCCUGCACACAUUGCUACACCGAGCUGAGCUUCGUGAGAAAAUGGCGACGGCGGCCUCGGUGAUUGAGCAUGCGGCGGCGGCCUCGACGGAGCUCGCGACGGCGGCCUCGGCGAUUGAGCUCGCGGCGGCGUCCUCGGCGAUUGAGCUCGUGGCGGCGGCCUCGACGGAGCUCGCGACGGCGGCCUCGGCGAUUGAGGUCGCGGCGCGGCCUCGACGGAGCUCGCUGCAGUGGCGGCGGCCUCGACUGAGCUUGCGGCUGCGGCCUCGGCGAUUGAGCCCGCGCGGCAGCGUUGUCGAUUGAGCUCCCGACCACGGCAAGUGCCCUGUCGAUUGAGCUUGUCGCUGCGGCAAGGAGGCGCACAGGGAGAGGGGGAGCGGGAGCUAGCUACUGACUGCAGGAGCGCGGAGCUCUGCUCGCCAUCGACGUGAAAGAUUGCAGAUUCAAGUUGUACCAGUACUACAUACCUGUUGAAGAGGAUGUAGGAGGAGCUUCUUCCAUGCGAAAGAAGAAUGUUGUUCUGGAUUGUGAUCCACGCAAAGGAAAUUUCUCACGGGGUGCUGGAAGAUCGCCUCCGGCAACUAGCCUGUGCGAGCAUGCCGGAAGAUCGCUUCUAGCCUCUAGCUUGUUCUCAAUUUCUUUGAUCUUUAGGGCUGCAACUUCCGGCGAGAUUUGUAGGAGAAACUAAUCACGUGGGGAAGGAGAUUCUGGGAUGGUAUUGUUUGGCGGGUAGAAAAAAAUCUGUUAGGAUAGUGCGUGCAGGGCUCCCUGCAGGAGAGCCGGACCCAAUUUGAACAUGACAUAUCCGUCAUAUUCUCCAUGCACUUGUAAGUUUCCUUGAUGAAUAGGCAAAAACUUGGGUGCGGAAAUAGUGUUUUCUAAA